rnacentral:piRNA from 1 species
UCUAUGAACAGUCAUGAAGGUGUCCCUAUA